AGUGAACGCUGGCGGUAGGCCUAACACAUGCAAGUCGAACGGCAGCACAGUAAGAGCUUGCUCUUACGGGUGGCGAGUGGCGGACUGGUGAUUAAUACAUCGGAAUCUACUUUUUCGUGGGGUAUAACGUAGGGAAACUUACGCUAAUACCGCAUACGACCUACGGGUUAAAGCAGGGUAUCUUCGGACCUUGCGCGAUUGAAUGAGCCGAUGUCGGAUUAGCUAGUUGGCGGGGUAAAGGCCCACCAAGGCGACGAUCCGUAGCUGGUCUGAGAGGAUGAUCAGCAACAGUGGAAAGGAGACACGGACCAGACUCCUACGGGAGGCAGCAGUGGGGAAUAUUGGACAAUGGGCGGAAGCGUGAUCCAGCCAUACCGCGUGGGUGAAGAAGGCCUUCGGGGUGUAAAGCACUUUUGUUGGGAAAGAAAAGCAGCAGGUUAAGAACCCGCUGAUCUGACGGUACCCAAAGAAUAGCACCGGCUAACUUCGUG
rnacentral:rRNA from 1 species